CAGCCGCCACGGGAAUACAGAGGGUGCAAGCGUUAAUCGGAAUUACUGGGCGUAAAGCGCGCGUAGGUGGUUUGUUAAGUUGGAUGUGAAAGCCCCGGGCUCAACCUGGGAACUGCAUCCAAAACUGGCAAGCUAGAGUACGGUAGAGGGUGGUGGAAUUUCCUGUGUAGCGGUGAAAUGCGUAGAUAUAGGAAGGAACACCAGUGGCGAAGGCGACCACCUGGACUGAUACUGACACUGAGGUGCGAAAGCGUGGGGAGCAAACAGGAUUAGAUACCCCAGUAGUCCCUGUCUCUUAUAC
rnacentral:rRNA from 1 species